UCCCAUGAUCCCGUACUAUCACAGAAGUUAAGCAACGCCGAGCCUGGCCAGUAUUUAGAUGGGUGAACGCUGGGGAAUAACAGGUGCUGUAAG